rnacentral:rRNA from 1 species
AGUGAACGCUGGCGGUAGGCCUAACACAUGCAAGUCGAACGGCAGCACAGUAAGAGCUUGCUCUUACGGGUGGCGAGUGGCGGACGGGUUAGGAAUACAUCGGAAUCUACUUUUUCGUGGGGGAUAACGUAGGGAAACUUACGCUAAUACCGCAUACGACAUACGGGUGAAAGCAGCGGAUCUUCGGACCUUGCGCGGUUGCAUGAGCCGAUGUCGGAUUAGCUAGUUGGCGGGGUAAAGGCCCACCAAGGCGACGAUCCGUAGCUGGUCUGAGAGGAUGAUCAGCCACACUGGAACUGAGACACGGCCCAGACUCCUACGGGAGGCAGCAGUGGGGAAUAUUGGACAAUGGGCGAAAGCCUGACCCAGCAAUACCGCGUGGGUGAAGAAGGCCUUCGGGUUGUAAAGCCCUUUUGUUAGGAAAGAAAAGCAGCAGGUUAAUACCGCGCUGUUCUGACGGUACCCAAAGAAUAAGCACCGGCUAACUUCGUG